UGGGAGCUGCCUGCUGUUCUCAUGGUUGUAGUUAGGUCAGCCAAGUUUUGUUACCGGCUCUUGACUCUGUUGGCUGGAGCCUACCUUCCAAGAGCUCCCCUCCCCCUCCCCCAGAAGGCCCCUCCCCCCUCAAUCCCAGCAACACCCACGCGCCCUGCACAAUAUGGCUGGAGCAGGCAGCAACGGAGAGACCUUGGCUACCCGGAUGGAGGGUUCAUUGUCCUAAGCUGGAGAAAUGGAAGACUUUUAAAUGUCAUUUUCCCAGAGCACUGUUGGUAUCAAAAUGUGUUUAUAAUGGUCGGGUCGUCAUGGUGCUUACACCCACAUGGAGGCCUACUGGAGAUCAUAGAGAUGAAUGACAAGUUAAGAAACAGGCAAGAAAUUGUGAAUGGACUGAACAUAUUUUUGGAAGAAAAUGAAGAAGAAGCCUAUUUAGAAGAACUGGAAGAAGAAUCCGACAUGUUUGAGGAGGAAGAAACUGAAGCUCUGAAUGAAGAUGGUUCCAAAGAAGCACACAAUAAUGUAAGAACAUCUCAUAAAGUAUCCCUCAGGAGUAUUGCAUCAAUGACAGAUGAAGAGAGAUUUAAUAUGAGAAUUAAGAAGUUUGGUAUUACAAGUAAAGAAUUCAGAAAAUCACCAGUGGCUUCUUGCUUUGGACUGCCUCUGUCAACUGGUAUGUUCUGCCACUGUUUGGAGUAUUGCAUGAGUGCCAAAUGAGCAUGUGUGAAGCAUCAGUACGUCUGUAAUGAUAAGUCUCCCAACCGGCUCUGCUCUAGGCCAGCCAGAGCAGAUCCAUGAGCAAAGCAUCAGGGCAAAGAAAAUGCUGAUAUGGAAAAGAAGAGAAGGCGCCUGGAACGU